ensembl:lncRNA
GGUGGGAGGAUGUUGAGUCGGUUGCAGCAGCGUUUUCUCGGAGCGCUGCAGCUUCAGAACAGCAGCGACGCUCUGAACAAACAGUCACACCUUCAACCGGUUGCUGUGAAGCACUUUGAGCUCCUCCACUUUCCACCAGCAGCUUGAGACAAAGAGCUGAAUCGGCCUCCAGGCUUCGCUCACCGCAGCACAAACGUGAACUUUACUGCUGGCUGGUUGGUUGACGAGUCACCUGAGUCGGUUUGUGGCGGGAGCUGAAGCCUUCAGACAGGUGAUUGGAUGCAACGAUGACGGCGAAUCAGUGACGCAUCAUCAGAUCACCACCGAGGAAGAAGCAGCGACGUCGUCCUCAGACAUGGCCGAUGUUCGGUUACAGUAGUCGACCCAUGUGGACCAGAUAUACCAGAAGGAGACCCCGAACUUCACCAAUCCUCCGACUCCAAACCAACCCUCACUCCAAUCCGUUCGUCCUCAGGUGUCGAUGAACCAUGGACAUCACCUGGCUCUGCGUCGUCUUGUUCGUCGCCGUCGUCAUCGCUGUCGUCCUCCUCGUCUUCACCUGUGUGAACUGCAGGAAAAAAGGCCCCAUGGCCUCCAUCACUCAGACCGCUUCAGACGCGUAUGUGCCAUCCCCGCAUUUCAGAGUCAUCCAUCCAUUUGUAGCCCAGCCGACCACUGACCCGAACUCCCUCCGCCCUCCCGUCAGCCAUCCGUCACCUUUCCCAAAUCGAGCUGAUGGUGGAACUGUGUGGCAACCUUCACCCUACCAUCCAUCAGAAACAGAGAGUAACCCAAGUUAUGAGAAUCCAGGUAUUGGACCUGAAUCUUUGGAGAGCGACGCUGAUGAAGCCGGAUCCGGAUACAUAAUCGUGAUACCCGAAGGACAAGAUCCUGUGACCAAUCGAAGCGGAGCCUCAACGCCCAGUUCAGAUGUUCAGAACGACCACGACUAUGUGAACAUCGCAAAGGAAGCUUCAACAGACUAUCUGAAUGUGGACUCGAUGUACAAUCAAAGGCCGACAUCAGCGACAACGGCUACAACUGACAGCGACGACGACGAUGAUGACGAUGAAACAGGAAACUACGUGAACCAACAACCUAUGAUCCACAGCUAACCAGGUGCAGGAUGGGACAAGACGACCGACUGAGCUUCAUUCUUCUUCCUUCACAAAACUGCUGACGGUGUUUAUUUAAAGAGCUGAGAGAUGUUUCCCCACCGAGAACUGAGAAUUCCUGCUCGUGUUCAACGUCACGUUUAAAUUCAUUUUAGGUUUUUUUUAUUACCUUUUCAAUCAUCACUUCUUUCCUACAAUCUGAAUCUGUCCUCCACACAGAGGAGCUACCAUGUUUGAGCUUUACUUUGACUUUACUGACAAUCCUGAGAAUGUCUUGAUUCGCUAAUGAUCUAUUUGUGUUGUUGCCGUGGUUACUGUUGUCUCCAGGUCUAUAAUCCAACUGUGUGAACGAGAAAUGUUUUUAAGCAACUACAAUUCAAUUAAACAUAUACAAACCUCGAA